rnacentral:lncRNA from 1 species
CCCGAGAUGGGACAAGGCUCUAGGGUUUUCGUGACGCGGAUUUUGAGGAGAGGCUGGUUUCGCUGCUAUUUAUAGACAGGGGGCUAGAGUUAGGAUUUUUCCAUCCAAUUUCAACCGUAGGAUCGCAAUCGGACGAUCUCAGUUGCGCCCUAGGGCUAGGUGGGUUAGUGGUUGUGUAGAGUGGUGGUGGGCUAAUAAG